rnacentral:rRNA from 1 species
CGCUAUCGACAGGCUUAACACAUGCAAGUCGAGGGGCAGCACAGGUAGCAAUACCGGGUGGCGACCGGCGCACGGGUGAGUAACGCGUAUGCAACUUACCUAUCAGAGGGGGAUAACCCGGCGAAAGUCGGACUAAUACCGCAUGAAGCAGGGGCCCCGCAUGGGGAUAUUUGCUAAAGAUUCAUCGCUGAUAGAUAGGCAUGCGUUCCAUUAGGCAGUUGGCGGGGUAACGGCCCACCAAACCGACGAUGGAUAGGGGUUCUGAGAGGAAGGUCCCCCACAUUGGUACUGAGACACGGACCAAACUCCUACGGGAGGCAGCAGUGAGGAAUAUUGGUCAAUGGCCGAGAGGCUGAACCAGCCAAGUCGCGUGAGGGAUGAAGGUUCUAUGGAUCGUAAACCUCUUUUAUAAGGGAAUAAAGUGCGGGACGUGUCCCGUUUUGUAUGUACCUUAUGAAUAAGGAUCGGCUAACUCCGUGCCAGCAGCCGCGGUAAUACGGAGGAUCCGAGCGUUAUCCGGAUUUAUUGGGUUUAAAGGGUGCGUAGGCGGCCUUUUAAGUCAGCGGUGAAAGUCUGUGGCUCAACCAUAGAAUUGCCGUUGAAACUGGGGGGCUUGAGUAUGUUUGAGGCAGGCGGAAUGCGUGGUGUAGCGGUGAAAUGCAUAGAUAUCACGCAGAACCCCGAUUGCGAAGGCAGCCUGCCAAGCCAUUACUGACGCUGAUGCACGAAAGCGUGGGGAUCAAACAGGAUUAGAUACCCUGGUAGUCCACGCAGUAAACGAUGAUCACUAGCUGUUUGCGAUACACUGUAAGCGGCACAGCGAAAGCGUUAAGUGAUCCACCUGGGGAGUACGCCGGCAACGGUGGAACUCAAAGGAAUUGACGGGGGCCCGCACAAGCGGAGGAACAUGUGGUUUAAUUCGAUGAUACGCGAGGAACCUUACCCGGGUUUGAACGCAUUCGGACCGAGGUGGAAACACCUUUUCUAGCAAUAGCCGUUUGCGAGGUGCUGCAUGGUUGUCGUCAGCUCGUGCCGUGAGGUGUCGGCUUAAGUGCCAUAACGAGCGCAACCCUUGCCACUAGUUACUAACAGGUAAAGCUGAGGACUCUGGUGGGACUGCCAGCGUAAGCUGCGAGGAAGGCGGGGAUGACGUCAAAUCAGCACGGCCCUUACAUCCGGGGCGACACACGUGUUACAAUGGCGUGGACAAAGGGAAGCCACCUGGCGACAGGGAGCGAAUCCCCAAACCACGUCUCAGUUCGGAUCGGAGUCUGCAACCCGACUCCGUGAAGCUGGAUUCGCUAGUAAUCGCGCAUCAGCCAUGGCGCGGUGAAUACGUUCCCGGGCCUUGUACACACCGCCCGUCAAGCCAUGGGAGCCGGGGGUACCUGAAGUCCGUAACCGCGAGGAUCGGCCUAGGGUAAAACUGGUGACUG